GUGCUCCCCCGCCAAUUCCUUUAAGUUUCAGCCUUGCGACCGUACUUCCCAGGCGGCACGUUUCACGAUUUCUCUUCGGCACCUCGGUGACUCGUGGUCACCGAUACACCUAACGCGCAUCGUUUACAGCUGGGACUACCCGGGUAUCUAAUCCGGUUUGCUCCCCCAGCUUUCGUCCCUCACUGUCGGAGCCGUUCUGGUGAGGCGCCUUCGCCACAGGUGGUCCCCCAAGGAUUACAGGAUUUCACUCCUACCCCUGGAGUACCCCUCACCUCUCCCGGUCCCUAGUCUGCCAGUAUCCCUGAGGCGCCUUCCGGUUAAGCCGGAAGAUUUCCCCAGAGACUUAACAAACCAGCUACGAACGCUUUAAGCCCAGUAAUAGUGGCCACCACUCGAGCCGCCGGUAUUACCGCGGCGGCUGGCACCGGUCUUGCCCGGCCCUUUCUUCACCAGUUAUUUAAACUGGUGGACAGCCCGAUUUAACGGGCACUCGGAGUUCCCCUGUCGCGGUUUCCCGCAUUGCAAAGUUUUCGCGCCUGCUGCGCCCCGUAGGGCCUGGAUUCGUGUCUCAGAAUCCAUCUCCGGGCUCUUGCUCCCACAACCCGUACCGAUUACAGGCUUGUUGGGCCGUUACCCCAACAACAACCUAAUCGGCCGCAGACCCAUCCUAUGGCGGCGGACCUUUCAACUACAGAGCAUUCCAGCAUCCAUAGUCUAUAGGGUAUUAUCCCCAGUUUCCCGGGGUUAUCCCCUUCCAUAGGUUAGAUUGUCCACGUGUUACUGAGCCGU
rnacentral:rRNA from 1 species